rnacentral:rRNA from 1 species
GGGAAUCUACCUAGCUCUACGGAAUAACCCAGGGAAACUUGGACUAAUACCGUAUACGUCCUUCGGGAGAAAGAUUUAUCGGAGUUGGAUGAGCCCGCGUUGGAUUAGCUAGUUGGUGGGGUAAUGGCCUACCAAGGCGACGAUCCAUAGCUGGUCUGAGAGGAUGAUCAGCCACACUGGGACUGAGACACGGCCCAGACUCCUACGGGAGGCAGCAGUGGGGAAUAUUGGACAAUGGGCGAAAGCCUGAUCCAGCCAUGCCGCGUGAGUGAUGAAGGCCCUAGGGUUGUAAAGCUCUUUCAACGGUGAAGAUAAUGACGGUAACCGUAGAAGAAGCCCCGGCUAACUUCGUGCCAGCAGCCGCGGUAAUACGAAGGGGGCUAGCGUUGUUCGGAAUUACUGGGCGUAAAGCGCACGUAGGCGGACUAUUAAGUCAGGGGUGAAAUCCCGGGGCUCAACCCCGGAACUGCCUUUGAUACUGGUAGUCUAGAGUCCGAGAGAGGUGAGUGGAAUUCCGAGUGUAGAGGUGAAAUUCGUAGAUAUUCGGAGGAAC